rnacentral:lncRNA from 1 species
UUUUGAGGAAUGCUCACUGGGCUCAGUUUGUGCUUGGUUCCCAGCUGCUGCAACUAGAGGGACCUGGAGUAGACAGAAGGGACCCUCUGCUAGGAGCGGGGAGUCAGUACCAGCAGACAAUGGCUCCAUCCAGCGGGCAGAGGGAGACUGGAGGAUCUCCCAGAUCAAAGGGCAGUGAACACAGACUCCACUUCUCAAAGGAGGAGGAUCAGUUUCACACUGGGACUGGCAUAGGCUGGUGCAGCCAUCUUUGGAAAAUACCAUCUUCCUCAAGUGAAUAUUUAAAACCAGAGACCAUCAAACCAGAUGAUCAUGUGGCAAGUGUUCCAGCCAGUUCCAGAUGAAGACACCACCCCCUGAAGAAGCUACCCUAUUUCCACUAGACAGAGGAGGGCGAGAAUUCCAUGAUUCCAUGAUUCCCAAUAUGUAAGGACUACACCUCAAUCAGCAUGAGGCAAUUACAGAAGAAAGACCAUUGGUCCCUCUGCCUCCCAUAAAGAUUUAUGGGGAUCACAUCUCUCAGGGAAAAAUGAGGCAGGAGAAUAGGGUCUGGAGGCAGGGAUCAUAAGGCUGAUUCACACUGACUUCCUAGAACUAAAUCAAAAGGAAAACCCCAACUUUCCACACCUAAGUAACAAAAGGACUGGAGGCUACUCCCUUUGCAAACCACCCCCUGCCGCCCUUUUUCUACAUGGUAGAUGGAAAAUUUAAAGUAUCUCUAAUUGGUUGCAGGUUGCAGAAAGCAACCAAUCAGAGGCUUGCAUAGGAGUGUAACUUUGUAACUUCAGCCUCUGAUUGGUUGCUUUUCACAACCAAUCAGACACUUGCAUAAGUGUAACCUUUGUAACUUCAGCCUCUGACUGGUUGCUUUCCUAAACCAAACAGACUAAUUGCGGGCCAUACUUCACUUACAUAGCGUGUACACCAAGUAGUAACCAAUGGGAAACCUCUAGAUGGUAUUUAAAUCCCAGAAAAUUCUGUAAUGGGGGUCUUGAGCUCCUAUGCUCCGGCCGCUCCCACCCUGUGGAGUGUACUUUGAUUUUCAAUAAAUCUCUGCUUUUGUUGCUUCAUUCUUUCCUUGUUUUGUUUGUGUGUUUUCUUCAAUUCUUUGUUCAAAACACCAAGAACCUGUACACCCUACACCAGUAACACAUGCUAUGGUCAAUAUCUACAAUUUCUGUCUCCAAGUAUGCAAGCACUACUUUGAACCGCAUACACUAACAACUUGGUGUUCUGGGUCAUUAGUUGCAAAUCGACAGGUUCUGUUUUAGUCACAAAAUCAAGUUUCAUCACCG